rnacentral:misc_RNA from 1 species
GAUGAAGAACGUAGCGAAAUGCGAUAAGUAAUGUGAAUUGCAGAAUUCAGUGAAUCAUCGAAUCUUUGAACGCACAAUGCGCCCGCCAGUAUUCUGGCGGGCAUGCCUGUUCGAGCGUCAUUACAACCCUCAGGCCCCCGGGCCUGGCGUUGGGGAUCGGCGGAGCCCCCCGUGGGCACACGCCGUCCCCCAAAUGCAGUGGCGGUCCCGCCGCAGCUUCCAUCGCGUAGUAGCUAACACCUCGCGACUGGAGAGCGGCGCGGCCACGCCGUAAAACACCCAACUCUUCUGAAGUUGACCUCGAAUCAGGUAGGAAUACCCGCUGAACUUAAGCAUAUCAAUAAGCGGAGGA